UUAGCCUCCCAACGUCCUGGAAUUACAGGCGUGAGCCACUGGGCUCAGCCCUGUAUUUCCUUCUUGAGAGAGCCCAAAGUAUUCGCUUUUGCUCAUCUGUCUAGGCCACUUAAAUAGUUAGAAUCCACCAUCCCCUAAUGCAGAAACCUUUCAGGUGAGAUAAAUUAAUAAACAUUGUAAACACAUAUAUGAGGUUGGCAUUACACAGAAACUCCUCUCUCGGUGUCUAGGCUGGACAUUGUCAUCCAGCCUAAUGUAUUUUAAAUUUCUCUCUUUCAAGACUUGCAGUCCAUCAGCUUAAAGGGUGAGCCAGUCAGUAGAGGGAAGGAGCCCCAGCUAGAAGGUACCUUUAAAUGUCAAAGAAAUGCGAAGAGAGAAAGAUUUUGCUAGAAUCCUCCUCAAGGGUGUUCUUGAGGUUACCAGACCGGCAACAUCAGCAUCACCUGAGAACUUGUUCGAAGUACACAUUCUUGGUCCCCACCCCAGGCUUCUGAGCAGAAACAGUGGGGCCCAGCAGUCCGUAUUUUAACAGCCCUUCAGGUGGUUCUGACUAACUCUCAAGUUUGAGAAUCCACUCGGGGCUUGCAAGGGUCGUUCCUCAGGUGGUCCCUGAUGGCUGCUGGUGAUAUGGGUCCUGUGUGCUGCUAGGCGCAGCGUAGUACAGUCAAAAGUGCUGAUUGUGAAGAUAGGCACGUGUUCCCACUGCUGAGAAACCACUGAAACCUCCCUUGAACCUGUGGCCUCCCCAGCAAACAACUGCCAAGGCAUCAAAGAAAGUCUGUAUGAAGUGGAUCAAAAUUAUUAGCCUGCCCACCGCUCCUUCUGCCUCUCAUCAGUUGAACCCAUCUCUAGACCAAGGGCCCUUUGGGUGAAGAACCAUCCCAGAAGGGAAAGAGAAAAGAAUAGAACCCAGAGACCUCCAGAUGGGAGCAGCAGUCGGAUCACCUCACAGAAGAGAAAGAAUUCACAGUGAAAUAGAAACAAGCCACUGACCAGCGUACUCUCAAACUGAAACCUUCCUUUUCCCACCCUCUCUCUCAAGAAAACAUCUGCUGACUUGAGCAGCGUGAUUGCCAUAGCAAAGCAGAGUGGCCCCCUGGGAACCCGCUCUGUUGUGGCACAUGCGCACACAGGAGCCGAUGAAGCUGAUCCAAGAGUGAUGACGAGCACUGCAGAGGGAAGUUUGCCAAAAGCCUUCAGGGGGACACACAUGCUCUAACACGGACAUAGAAUGCCCUGGAUUUCUGUGGUUGUGGCCAUAGAGUCUGGUCCUGGCUUCAGUCUUUGGUUCAAAUCUCUGCUUGGCUACGUAUCACCAUACCUUACUACCAAAAUACGACCUUGAGCAUCAACUUCUUUAAGACUCAGUUUUCUCAUCUGUAAAACUGGAAUGAUAACCUAAAUCACAAAGUUAAUGGAAGGAUUAAAUGAGGGUGAUGAAUGGGAAUGUAUGGUAUCUGGCCCUGGUAUGGCUUUAUAAAUGUUAGCUGUGUUAGAGCUGCGCUUUUCAAACCAUUGGUCACAACCAUUAAUGGUUUGCAACCAGCAUUUUUUUCAAGAAAAAAUUUAAAUGCAUUACAUAUUGCAGGGUAAGUAUUGUUUUAUGAAGCUUAGGGGCUGUGUAUAUAUGUGUUCUGGAAUGCAACAGAAAAAUAUUUCCUCUUGUGGGUUACAAUAUAGAAGUAUGAAAUCUCUGAUGAGGAGAGACAGUGUUAUCUGGCCAGCUAUGAAGAGACGCAUUUGCCUGGGCUGCUGCCUGGGGCUCUGGCUUUCUACAUGAUGAUGCAGGGAGCAGGGAACAACCUAUUCUCACUCUGUGGGGCUCAGCUGAGUCUGCACGGACUCUUCUUGCUUGGGAGCCUUAGUCCUAAUACAUUCAUUUUGGAGUGUUGGUGAGUUUGUUCACAGAUCACAGCUCAUGUGUCACCCAGGCUGACCUGGGCCAAAAGGCCCCGUCACAUACUCUGCAAGAGCUGCUGGUCUCAACUACAACCCCCUGACCAGAAAUCAACCAUUUUUGUUUGUUUUCUUGAGCCUGAAGCUAGUGUUACUGCUCUUCUACAAACCUCAAGCUUAAGAACUUUGCCUGCAAGAUCCCUUUAAAUCCACGAAAAACUCAAAAUUGUGUCCUACCAGGAAAAAGCAACCCUCAGGCCAUUUAUUACAUCAGAUUUGUUUGCAGUAUUUUCUUUCAGGAACUCAGAAGUAGUCAGUACUCCCUGAACAUUUGUCCACUUGACUGCUGAAGACCUCUGGUAGACAGGCCGGGCUCUGCCUGGAAUACUUUUAUGGCUUGGUGAGGAGGUUGAGUAUAAUCCAAGAGUGCCUAUCGGGUGCAUGCCACAUGAAUGGCAAAUAAUCCUGUGGGCUCUUGGCUUCAUCUCCCUUCCCUCUGACUGAGCUCAGCCUGGGCACAGUGGGGAUUUGCACAGUGGGAAAACAUGUUGGGCAGAAAAAAGACGCUAAUUCUGCUCCCAGUUCUGCUGCAUAAUAAGCCAGACAAGCCUUGGCCAUUCUCAUGGCCUCUUGGAACUUGUAUUUCUUCCUUAUCUGCCAAGCAUCAAUACUCAGACCCACCUCACAAGGAGGCUAUAAAAAACUAUGGUCAUGGCUUUGAGUCCAAGUCAGUGAGGAUGCAGCCAGUCUGUCAUUUCUGGGUGUCUCCCCUGUAGCCCGUUUGCCAUAUGGUAAUGUCCCAGCUCUGGUGCUAUCAAGUUAAAGCAUCUUUCUCGACAGGCUACAGAUAAUCACCCAGGAAGGGAAUGCAGAAUACCCAAAGCAAACCCUCUCAGUGGUCACUGCUUCUGUGCCCAGAAGGGAGGCCUGGCGAGGGGCCAGUCCGGGAGCAGCAUUGCCCCACAUGAAGCUCCCUCUAGACUGUGUCAAUAAGAUCCAUUUUCUGAAACAGUGAUUUUUGUUCUGAUUAUAAAAGUAACAUUGGCUCAUUGGUGAAAACUUGGACUGUGUGAGAAGUCUACAGAAAUAAAUACAAAUCUAGAAUUCCAUCCCCAAAAGUAACCACACAGACAAAUGUUCCAGUGUCAUGUAAAAUUGUAUUAACACCAUCUCGUAUAGCU